rnacentral:rRNA from 1 species
AUUAGCUAGUUGGUGGGGUAAAGGCCUACCAAGGCGACGAUCCGUAACUGGUCUGAGAGGAUGAUCAGUCACACUGGAACUGAGACACGGUCCAGACUCCUACGGGAGGCAGCAGUGGGGAAUAUUGGACAAUGGGCGAAAGCCUGAUCCAGCCAUGCCGCGUGUGUGAAGAAGGUCUUCGGAUUGUAAAGCACUUUAAGUUGGGAGGAAGGGCAGUAAGUUAAUACCUUGCUGUUUUGACGUUACCAACAGAAUAAGCACCGGCUAACUUCGUGCCAGCAGCCGCGGUAAUACGAAGGGUGCAAGCGUUAAUCGGAAUUACUGGGCGUAAAGCGCGCGUAGGUGGUUCAGCAAGUUGGAUGUGAAAUCCCCGGCCUCAACCUGGGAACUGCAUCCAAAACUACUGAGCUAGAGUACGGUAGAGGGUGGUGGAAUUUCCUGUGUAGCGGUGAAAUGCGUAGAUAUAGGAAGGAACACCAGUGGCGAAGGCGACCACCUGGACUGAUACUGACACUGAGGUGCGAAAGCUUGGGGAGCAAACAGGAUUAGAUACCCUGGUAGUCCACGCCGUAAACGAUGUCGACUAGCCGUUGGGAUCCUUGAGAUCUUAGUGGCGCAGCUAACGCGAUAAGUCGACCGCCUGGGGAGUACGGCCGCAAGGUUAAAACUCAAAUGAAUUGACGGGGGCCCGCACAAGCGGUGGAGCAUGUGGUUUAAUUCGAAGCAACGCGAAGAACCUUACCUGGCCUUGAC